GGAGACUCUGGCUUCCUCCCACCGUCCAAAAACAUGCUUGAUAGGUGAAUUGGUUGCUCUAAAUUCUCCCUAGGUGUGAAUAGGUGUAUGAUUGAGGUGCUGUGACAAACUGGCAACCUGUCCAGACUGUACCCUGCCCUCGCCCAUCAGAAGCCAGGUUGGGCUCCGGCACCCCAAUGACCCCGAAAGGGACAACCGGUUAAGUAGAUGAAUGAAUGAAUGAAAAAAAUAAGGCUGUUGAUGCACAUUGUUCCUUCUUUUACUUAUAGGUCAGAGUCCUAUUGAUUUUAUCUUUAGCUUUGUGAAGCAAUCUCAGGGCCCCUUAGGAGGAUAUGACCUCGUGGAAAAUCGUCCAACAGCUGGCAGUAACACCAGUCUGGAGGUGACUCUACUUCAGGCUGACUCCACCACAGUGACUGAAGUCACUUUAGUCGAAUCCUCAGGGUCAGGACAGGUUAACGGACUUGUGGAGGCUCAGGGUGGAGGGCAAUACUUGGUCCACUUUGACAAGAUCCCAUCAGUUGAGUUUGUGGCAUUAGUGAAAGGACAGAGUACCAACAGUACAACUUCUAGAGCAUCCUCAGUGACAUUCCAGAGACAGUCUACAACCAGCCUGAGAGCCUCUACACUAACUGUUACUGUGUCUGAUACAGGGAGUGUCUUAGAGCCUGGAACUCCACUCCUCGUUCCCUUUUCUGUAACAACCACUGGUGAUGGAGGAAACUUUGUAAUCAAAG